AGCUUCAACAUCCCCGCAGGCUGGGCGCGGACGUCGAAUAGCGGAUCUUAAUCAAGGGGUCGGCUAAGCGAUGACGCGCAGUGAGUCUGCUGCAGCC
rnacentral:sRNA from 12 species